rnacentral:rRNA from 1 species
CCUACGGGAGGCUGCAGUGAGGACUAUUUGUCAAUGGCCGGAAGGCUGAACCAGCCAAGCCGCGUGAAGGACGCAGGUGCCAAGCAUUGUAAACUUCUUUUGUCAAGGGACAAAAUCAGGCUCGAGAGCCUGACCGAGGGUACUUGAAGAAAAAGCAUCGGCUAACUCCGUGCCAGCCGCCGCGGUAAUACGGAGGAUGCGAGCGUUAUCCGGAUUUAUUGGGUUUAAAGGGUGCUUAGGCGGGCUGUUGAGUCCGCGGUAAAAGCCCGGGGGUCAACCCCGGCGAGCCGUUGAAACUGGCUGGCUUGAGAUGUCGAGAGGUAUGCGGAAUGCGCAGUGUAGCGGUGAAAUGCUUAGAUAUUGCGCAGAACUCCGAUUGCGAAGGCAGCAUACCGGCGGCGAUCUGACGCUGAGGCACGAAAGCGUGGGUAUCGAACAGGAUUAGAUACCCUGGUAGUC